rnacentral:rRNA from 1 species
UACGAAGGGGGCUAGCGUUGCUCGGAAUCACUGGGCGUAAAGGGUGCGUAGGCGGGUCUUUAAGUCAGGGGUGAAAUCCUGGAGCUCAACUCCAGAACUGCCUUUGAUACUGAAGAUCUUGAGUCCGGGAGAGGUGAGUGGAACUGCGAGUGUAGAGGUGAAAUUCGUAGAUAUUGGGAAGAACACCGGUGGCGAAGGCGGCCAUCUGGACCGAUACUGACGCUGAGGCGCGAAAGCGUGGGGAGCAAACAGG